UACGGAGGGUGCGAGCGUUGUCCGGAAUCACUGGGCGUAAAGGGCGCGUAGGCGGCCUGAUAAGUAGGGGGUGAAAUCCUGCGGCUUAACCGCAGGGCUGCCUUCUAAACUGUCAGGCUUGAGCACAGUAGAGGCAGGUGGAAUUCCCGGUGUAGCGGUGGAAUGCGUAGAGAUCGGGAAGAACAUCAGUGGCGAAGGCGGCCUGCUGGGCUGUUGCUGACGCUGAGGCGCGACAGCGUGGGGAGCAAACGAGG
rnacentral:rRNA from 1 species